rnacentral:rRNA from 1 species
UCCGUAUGUGAACCUGCGGAAGGAUCAUU